UCAUCCAUGGCUAUAAAAGGUUGUGUUGUCUAUUUGGAGUUCAGAUAAUCAGUGCUCGUUUGCCCACCUUUUUGACCAUUUCUUCCUAAAGAUAUGGGAGCCCUCAAGCUUGGAAACAUGUUAUGCUUUCUACUUGUGAUGUCACUCCUUUUUGUUCCUGGCUACGAAGCAAAGACUUGCACAAUAACGAGCACGACAUACCCCACUUCCACAUGCAUUCGGGAAUGAUGUGCUGAGGCCUGCCAUAAUGAGGGCUAUGAUGAAGGGGCGUGUAACAUUAUCAGCUUUAGACCGAUUUUGAUACUUUGUUUCUGCAAGAAAGAGUGCUAAAGAUAGAUGUCUUGCAACUAUCCUCUAAUGUGAUGUAACAAAUAAUAAGAUUAUGGCGUACGAAUAACUAAGGAUUAACAAUGGUAGAAGUCGAUACAUUACCAAAUGUUCCUUGUGUUUUGGCUUAAAAUUAUGGAGUAAGAAUAACUAUGGAGGAAGAAUAA